GUAGGUGGCAAGCGUUGUCCGGAAUUAUUGGGCGUAAAGCGCGCGCAGGUGGUUCUUUAAGUCUGAUGUGAAAGCCCCCGGCUCAACCGGGGAGGGUCAUUGGAAACUGGGGAACUUGAGUGCAGGAGAGGAAAGUGGAAUUCCACGUGUAGCGGUGAAAUGCGUAGAUAUGUGGAGGAACACCAGUGGCGAAGGCGACUUUCUGGCCUGUAACUGACACUGAGGCGCGAAAGCGUGGGGAGCAAACAGGAUUAGAUACCCUGGUAGUCCACGCCGUAAACGAUGAGUGCUAAGUGUUUGGGGGGGGUUUUCCCCGCCCCCCCGUCAGUGCUGCAGCUAACGCAUUAAGCACUCCGCCUGGGGAGUACGUCGCAAGACUG
rnacentral:rRNA from 1 species